UAUAUAUAUAUAUAUAGAUAGAUAGAUAGAUAGAUAGGUAAGUAGGUAGGUAGAUAGAUAGAUAGAUAGGUAGGAAGGUAGGUAGGUAGGUAGAUAGAUAGAUAGAUAGGUAGGAAGGUAGGUAGGUAGGUAGGUAGGUAGGUAGGUAGGUAGAUAGAUAGAUAGAUAGGUAGGAUAGGUAGGUAGGUAGGUAGGUAGGUAGAUAGAUUGAUUGAUAGAUAGGAUAGGUAGAUAGGUAGGUAGGUAGGUAGAUAGAUAGAUAGAUAGGUAGGAAGGUAGGUAGGUAGGUAGGUAGGUAGGUAGGUAGAUAGAUAGGUAGGUAGGUAGAUAGAUAGAUAGAUAGGUAGGAAGGUAGGUAGGUAGGUAGGUAGAUAGAUAGAUAGGUAGGAAGGUAGGUAGGUAGAUAGAUAGAUAGAUAGGUAGGAAGGUAGGUAGGUAGAUAGAUAGAUAUAUGUACACACACAUACAAGGCACCACAUAUUCCUGUAAUGGUAAUGACAUGCAAACAUAUAUAUACAUAUGUAUAUAUAUACAUAUAUACACACACACCUAUAUAUAUAUAAUAUAUAACAAUAUCCCACCUUUUUCCUCAUAGUUUCAAACUACAGCACCACCACCACCUCCCUCUCUCUUUCUUGUAUAUACACACACACACACACACACACACACACAUAUAUAUACACAGAUAUAAACAUACACCUAUGCACACAUACAACAUAUAUACAUUCCAUUUUUCAUAACUGCUUUGAAAAUAAAAUAUCCACCCAUGCCCCGCUCCUCAGAUAUUUCAUGUUAACCCCAACUGCUUUGAGCUGAGAUUGAACCCGGUCCAAUACACUGUUUAUAAUGUUGUUUUUGUUUUGUUAUUUUUUAUUUUUACCUUUAUACACACACACACACACACACACACACACACACACACACACACACACACACACACACACACACACACUCACACACACACACACACACACGUGUUGCUUAAAUCUCUUGCUGCAUAAAUUAAACUGAUGUUGUGUUGUUGUUUUUUUUUUUAGUGGGUGGGGCAGUUUUUUUUUUAUUUUUGUUUUGCUGGGGGGUGGGCAUGGAGGGGGUGGGGGCUCAAAAGAGCAUUUAAAUAUGGUAAAUAUAAAGGGAGGUGGCUGGGAAGGGGGCAGAAAAGAGAACAAAAUUUCGAAUACGAAUGAAUGUAGGGGUGUGUGCGCAUGUGUGGGUAUAUAUAUAUAUAUGUGUGUGUGUGUGUGUGUUUGUAUAUAGAAACUUAUAUAUGUGUAUUAGCACAUAUACAGACACAAUAUAUUUGAUCAUUAUGCACACACACUCUCACACACAUAUAUACAUACAUAUAUAUAUACACACACACACACAUAUAUACAUACAUAUACAUACAUAUAUACAUACACACACAUAUACAUACAUAUACAUACAUAUAUAUAUACACACACACACACACAUAUAUACAUACAUAUACAAACAUAUAUAUAUAUUUAUACACACACAUGUGCAUACAAAUAUAUAUCAAUAUAUAUAUAUAUUUUUUUUUUUUUCUUUUUUACGACCAGACCAUCAGAUGUUGUUACACAUCGCUGGUCACAAUGCGUUCGCAUUGUUUUAGCCUUCGAAUUACGCCACCCUGCUGGCUAAGCGACCAGGCCAUAUCAAUAUAUAUAUAUAUAUAUAUAUAUAUAUAUAUAUAUAUAUAUGUAGGUCCCGGGUUGAUUCGGGGUUAACCACAGUAAAUAAGGUACUCAAUUCGGGGUUAUAUGAAGCUCCUUCUAUAUAAUAAAUAUAUAUAUAUAUAUAUAUAUAUACACACACACAUAUAUGCACAUAUAUACAUAUUGAAUGAUUGAUUGAUUGAUUGAUUCUAGUUUCAGCUCAUGAGCUGUGGCCAUGCUGGGGCACCGCGAAUGUGCAUAUAAUCAUAUAUAUAUAUAUAUAUAUAUAUAUAUAUAUAUAUAUAUAUAUAUAUAUAUAUAUAUAUAUUGAUAUAUAUAUAUUUGUAUGCAUAUGUAUGUAUGUAUAUAUAUAUUGCUCGUGCAUGUGCACACACACACCCAAAAGUUAACAGCAGAGAAAUGAAAAUGAAAAAUAAGAAGAAAAAACUUUUUAAAAACAAUUAAAUAUAUAUAUAUAUAAUUACAAAAAAAAAAGGAAACUGUACAGAUAUUUUUUUGCGAAAACUCCCCCCCCUUGAUAAACCCCAAAUCUCUAUAUUACGAACCUUUGUAGAAAUGAUAGACAUCUGUGUUGUUGUUGUUAUUGUUGUUGUUAGUGUUUAGGGGUCGGACGGGUAGAUUGAACCAACGUACUAGAGAUUCACACUAAACUUUAUUAUUAUCAUUGUUAUUAUUUUGUGUUUGUGUUUUUAUUUUUUGUUGUUGUUGUUUUUUUUCUUUUGUUUGUUUUUUUUUUUUUUUUU
rnacentral:lncRNA from 1 species